rnacentral:rRNA from 1 species
AACAAACGCUGGCGGCGUGCCUAAUACAUGCAAGUCGAACGGGGAAAGCUUGCGGGUGAGUACUAGUGGCGCACGGGUGAGGAACGCGUGGAUAAUCUGCCUUAGAGUGGGGGAUAACUAGUCGACAGAUUAGCUAAUACCGCAUAAGACCACGAGAGCUGCGGCUUUUGAGGUCAAAGGUGUUUCGCUCUAAGAUGAGUCCGCGUAAGAUUAGCUAGUUGGUGAGGUAACGGCUCACCAAGGCGACGAUCUUUAACUGGUCUGAGAGGAUGAUCAGUCACAGUGGCGCUGAGACACCGUACAGACCCCUACGGGAGGCAGGAGUAGAGAAUAGUGCAAAAUGGAGAAAACUCUGAUGCAGCGACGCCGCGUGAGUGAUGAAGGCCUGCGGGGCGUAAAGCUCUGUCGCAGGGGAAUAACACAAUGAAGGUAACCGGUAAGAAAGGACCGGCUAACUUCGUG